rnacentral:lncRNA from 1 species
CUUCCCGUGGCCCCGGGGCUCAGGGGCAGCCCAGGACUCUCCCUCGCCCGGCUCACGGCCCUGCCUGGGGGGCGCCUCCGGGAGCAGAUCACGAGCCCUGGGGCUCAGCCCUCAGGCGCGUCUAGCUCGGCGGUCACCCCAGUGCCGGGAGGACCCUGAAGACGCGCCCCAGGCGGCCCUACUCAGAGCCUCCUCCCAAGGCCCAGGAAUGCGGCGCUGUCGGAGGUGUGCGCGGUGGCCACACCGCUGUCCGGGUCCCCAAAGCGGGCCCCGCUCCCACUUCUCGCCUUGGCCCCGAACCCUGGGUCCAGCCCCAGCGCUUUGUGUGCGAACACCGCUCCGCCCCGGACCCAGCUCCGCCUUGGGGCCCCUCUCUGCCUGCCCCUCCGUGCCCGACUACACUGCUUCCCCUCCGGCGGGCGACUCAGCCCGGUCCAUCGUGGCGGCUUCCAGGGCGGCAGGCUCCGGGAGUACUCCCGGGGCCGGCUCCAAGGACUGUUCCCCUCCUCCCCACUCCCACUCCGCGGCGGCGGCGGGCGAGAGCGGCGACAUAGGGCCAGGGUCCGGAGCGGUGGAGGCUCCUGGCCGGGGAGCACGUCGCCCCACCCGGCAACGCGAGGAUGGUGGCGGCGCAGUCGGCUGCUUUGGGGUCUCAAGGCACAGGGGACGCGAGGCACAGAUGUCCCACAGCAGCCACUGCGGCUCCCGCAGCUGCUCCGCCGCCGCUGCCCGCCCCUCCCUGCUGCAGCUGGCGUGAUGGCAGCGGCAGCUCUGGACGCCCCACUGCUGCCACCAUCAGCCUUGUGAAAUAGCUUGAAAGAUCUAGCCACGUGAGCAGGACAGAAGUGCACAACAACCAUAUCUUGAUUUCUGUGGACCAGGUGGGGCCCCUGCCAGCCUUGCUAGACAGACCCAGGUGAACAGUCCUUCUAGGGGAUCUCAUCACCAGGCAAGCACGUGGUACGAGAAGAGCAGUCAUUAGGAAGGCCAUUUGGAAAAGCACAUCCUCUCUGUUCACGAUGAAGACUGAUGCUAAGGAAAAAGAGAUGAGGCCUCCCUGGUUCCGCAUUAUUACUCCUUCCUUUCUUGGGUUACGGAUUGAACACUGACCUUUUCUUUCACUCUUCUGCAAGACAACCCCAUAAGAAAGCUGAAACCUGCUUUUGUGAAAGCCUAUGAUUACUAUAAGACAGGCACAGAGCAAGAAAAUGUUUGAGGCUUGUGUCUAUAAACAAGACUUGGCUGGAAUCCCCAGACCCACGACUUUUUAAAAGGAUAUUUUGUCCCUGCAAUACAGAUACUGAAUGAGGUUGGCAAAUAAAUAUGUAUUUCUAGAGACUCUAUAA